AGCAAGCCCCCCAGGAGAUGAUCCCCAGUUGUCUGGACGCAGCAGACUCCACAAGAAAAAGAAUUUACCAGUGAGGGGAGGAAAAGUAUAUCAAGAACAUUUCUAACAUCACAUAAUUUUUAAUUAUUCGUGUUACUGGUGAAAGAACUUUGGUAAGGAAAAAGUUGACACCCUCCGAUGACUGGAAUGCAGGCAGGAUUCGUCACAGACCGCAAGCUGGAAAGCUCAGCUGGAGACAUCUGAAACAACACCCUUCGUAAAGGAGAAAGCAAGAUGCUGUACCUCUGAAAAUGCAAAACUGGGGCCGUGAUCUACUUUCAAUAAUUCCUUUUGCUAAAGCCUACCGGGCAAAUUAAAAAUACAUCACUCACACUUAUAAUGGUAAUUAAAAAAAAAAAAAACCAGCCUGUAAUCUAAAGGUGUGAAAUGGAGGGGAAAAUCUUGCGUGCUUUUCCUGAAGUUCAAACAUGACUUUAUCCUUUUUCCAACAUCUUGAAAAAGGCAACUGUGUUUGAAAUCUUCAGAAGUCAUCUACUAAUACAGGAAUUAUGCUCUAUAAAAGUUUUAAAAACUUGAAUGUUGAUACUUAAAAUAGUAAAUUUUAUGUCCUCUGGACACUAUGGAAGAGAGAAUGUUA